CCUACGGGCGGCUGCAGUGGGGAAUAUUGGACAAUGGGGGGAACCCUGAUCCAGCCAUGCCGCGUGUGUGAAGAAGGCCCUCGGGUUGUAAAGCACUUUCAGUGAGGAAGAACGCCUGGUGGUUAAUACCCAUCAGGAAAGACAUCACUCACAGAAGAAGCACCGGCUAACUCCGUGCCAGCAGCCGCGGUAAUACGGAGGGUGCGAGCGUUAAUCGGAAUUACUGGGCGUAAAGCGCACGUAGGUGGCUUGAUAAGCCGGUUGUGAAAGCCCCGGGCUCAACCUGGGAACGGCAUCCGGAACUGUCAAGCUAGAGUGCAGGAGAGGAAGGUAGAAUUCCCGGUGUAGCGGUGAAAUGCGUAGAGAUCGGGAGGAAUACCAGUGGCGAAGGCGGCCUUCUGGACUGACACUGACACUGAGGUGCGAAAGCGUGGGUAGCAAACAGGAUUAGAUACCCUGGUAGUC
rnacentral:rRNA from 1 species